CUUGACCACAUGUUCAGUAACAAGCAACAGCAAAUGUUCUCGAUUUUACCAUGCUCAUGGUAAAAAUAAAAACAGAGAAUGUGUAAUCUUUACUACCAUGCAUUUAUAUCCAUAACUCACUCCCAUUGAAGGACGCCAUUUUGUACAUUGAUUUAGUAACGAAGACAGUAGCUAUUUGGAAGCAAACUAGAAUUGUUCAUGAACCAAUAGUUUUACGAUUGGGCUGAGAUGUUGCUGUUGGAUGCAUUUCGUUUUCUUUAUUUUUGAAUGGAUGUUGCAGAAAUCCCUCGGAUCGGUUUUUAUGCUUUGGCAUCUCCAGUGGCCAAGUCCACCAAGAAGGCAACGUAAGAUCAGCGUUAAUGACUCUUGAUGCCGGCGACCGUGGAUGGCCAACUGCCUUCAGUGGUAUCCGGAUCAUCUCCAAAAUCUGGAUCAGCAUUCUAUGGAAUGGAACUUCAAAACUGACAGAACGCAAAUUUUAUUUACGCAAAAUUUAUGUUUAUUUGCGUAUACUCUUUAUUUAUUUAGAAUUGAAAUUUGUACAAAUUACCAAUGAUAAGUUAAAAGUAAUUAUUAUCUUACACAUAUUUACAAUUCUGCAUGCAUCAUGCGGGGACCUCGGCAUCGCACUUGAUAAUAUUCAAUAAAAGAAGCGUCCAGUUGAACCUA